GCGCUUUAUAUUUGAUCUUAGUGCAUUCUAACAGCAGUCUGUGUCUUCCUACUAUUCUCCAACUACGUUUGGGCUGCGAUCGUGCGGGUGUGAAUGAACCAAUCGAGACAGGAUCCGACCACAUUCUAUGUGGUCGUACGGCAUUCAUACAC